rnacentral:rRNA from 1 species
UGCGAAGGGGGCUAGCGUUGCUCGGAAUCACUGGGCGUAAAGGGUGCGUAGGCGGGUCUUUAAGUCAGGGGGGAAAUCCUGGAGCUCAACUCCAGAACUGCCUUUGAUACUGAGGAUCUUGAGUUCGGGAGAGGUGAGUGGAACUGCGAGUGUAGAGGUGAAAUUCGUAGAUAUUCGCAAGUACACCAGUGGCGAAGGCGGCUCACUGGCCCGAUACUGACGCUGAGACGCGAAAGCGUGGGGAGCGAACAGG